AAAUAGAGGAGUGGCGCACGGGUGAGUAACGCGUGGGAACCUGCCCUGGAGUGGGGGAUAACCCGGCGAAAGCCGGGCUAAUACCGCAUACGACCUGAGGGUGAAAGAUUAAUCGCUCUAGGAGGGGCCCGCGUCGGAUUAGCUAGUUGGUGAGGUAACGGCUCACCAAGGCGAUGAUCCGUAGCUGGUCCGAGAGGAUGAUCAGCCACACUGGGACUGAGACACGGCCCAGACUCCUACGGGAGGCAGCAGUGGGGAAUAUUGGACAAUGGGGGCAACCCUGAUCCAGCAAUGCCGCGUGAGUGAUGAAGGCCUUAGGGUUGUAAAGCUCUUUCGCCCGCGACGAUGAUGACGGUAGCGGGAGAAGAAGCCCCGGCUAACUUCGUGCCAGCAGCCGCGGUAAUACGAGGGGGGCAA
rnacentral:rRNA from 1 species